rnacentral:precursor_RNA from 14 species
UCCACCAUAGCUGCAUUGCCGGCCUCUGGGUCCCUGAGACCCUUUAACCUGUGAGGACGUCCAGGGUCACAGGUGAGGUUCUUGGGAGCCUGGCGCCUGGCUCAGCCACAACUUAGGGAU